rnacentral:sRNA from 1 species
UUCAAUAGAUCCCUGUUUAUUGGGAAGGAUAUGUUCGAUUCUUACAUACGCCAUCUGACAAAUCAGAAGAUGGAAGGCUAAUUUAUACUGGCAAUAUGGCCCGAGCAGUGUUUGGCUGGAGUGCAGUGGCAUGAUCUUGGUUCACCAUACUCUUCGCCUCCCAUGUUCAAGCGAUUCUCCUGGCUCAGCCUCCUGCUGGGAUUACAGGUGUGAAAUGUUUCUCUUAUUCUACGAGUCUGAUUGGACUUACAUUUCUGCCAUACAUUUUUACACAAAAUAAUGCUAUUUCUGAAAGUGUGCCUCUGCCUGUUCAAAUAAUAUUCUAUGGCAUCAUGGGAAGCUUUACGGUGAUCACCCCAGUGCUGCUUCACUUUAUUACAAAAGGCUAUGUCAUUCGAUUGUACCAUGAGGCCACAACAGACACUUAUAAAGCCAUUACGUACAAUGCUAUGCUUGCAGAAACGAGUACAGUGUUUCACCAGAAUGAUGUGAAGAUUCCAGAUGCUAAACAUGUAUUUACCACAUUUUAUGCUA